AACGUAGGACACAAGCGUUAUCCGGAGUUACUGGGCGUAAAGAGCGUGUAGGCGGCCAGAUAGGUCUGCUGUGAAAACUCGAGGCUCAACCUCGAGAUGUCGGCGGAAACCAUUUGGCUAGAGUCCGGAAGAGGAAAGUGGAAUUCCUGGUGUAGCGGUGAAAUGCGCAGAUAUCAGGAAGAACACCCUGGCGAAGGCGGCUUUCUGGGACGGUACUGACGCUGAGACGCGAAAGCGUGGGGAGCGAACAGG
rnacentral:rRNA from 1 species